GCUUCACUUUCACUUUUCAGCCACUCUCACUUCUCUGUCAGCUCCUUACCCUGGAGCUCAGCGCCCUGGCCUGUCCUCAAGGCUUCAAGUUGCAGCGAUAACAACACGCGCGAGGGCCCUGCACACAUGGUUCUAGAAGCCUGAGUGAUACCGAAGUGCAAUCAAGCAAUUAAAAACAGUAGACCAACCCUCUGCGGCCAGAUGCAUGUGCUAGAGAGGCGCAUAGCGAGGGACAGCCUGGCAGCUGGGGAGGGCUCCCUGGGCGAGAACAGAAGCCUCUACUGAGGCCUGAAGGCUGACCUGGGGUUGGCUGUUCACCAGAAGGAAGGGAAGAGCCUUCUCAGGCCUACAUAUGAAGAGAUGUUCAACAUCACUCAUCCUCAGGGAACGCAAAUCAAAACUGUAAUAAGCCAUCACCUCGGGAUCCCUGGGUGGCUCAGCAGUUUAGCGCCUGCCUUCGGCCCAGGGUGUGAUCCUGGAGGCCUGGGAUCGAGUCCAGCUU